rnacentral:rRNA from 1 species
AUGGCAGACGCGAACCGGUGGUGGGGGGCAGCGAAUGUGGUGUCGCAAGCCUUCGUGCAAGCUGUCGGCACGGAAGAAGUCUUCAGGUCGAUCAACCUCGCCAUCGCCAAGUUCGAGGCGCGAGCCGGGUUGCUGCGCGCGAUCCGCGACGGCGCCACCCUCGAGGAGGCGACCGCAGGCUACGUCGAGCCGGGUCCCGCCGGGGUCCUCCCCGCCGCGCUCCUCGAGGACGCCCGGCGCGGCAUCAAGCGCCGCCGCUCGCUCCACGCCUUGGCCCGCGGCCUCCCCCUCUGCACCCAUGCACUGGGCCGGGCACCCGAUGCGGAGACGACCCAGAGAUGGGAGAACUGCAACGUCGCCGUGCUCACCUACGCCCGCCGCGCGCAGACGAGGCUGCGCAACGCCGCGUCGCUCUACAAGGCGGCCGUGGACGCCAUCGACUUGGCCUCGGUGCUUCCGUUCGGAGCCCCGCUCCGCGUCGCCUGGAUGGGGGCGGCCGAGCAGCUCACGAGGCUUGCCGCCAGGGAGGCCACCAUGGCGCGCGACAACAUGAUCAUGAUGGGGCUAGCCGUUAGUCAGCAGGCCUGGGUCGCCAAGGCCAUGAUGGGGCCUGCGCCAGGCGCGCUCGGCGGAGGAAUCAACAACUAA